rnacentral:rRNA from 1 species
GACGAACGCUGGCGGCGUGCUUAACACAUGCAAGUCGAACGGUAAGGCCCUUCGGGGUACACGAGUGGCGAACGGGUGAGUAACACGUGGGUGAUCUGCCCUGCACUUCGGGAUAAGCCUGGGAAACUGGGUCUAAUACCGGAUAGGACUCCUGCCUGCAUGGGUGGGGGUGGAAAGCUUUUGCGGUGUGGGAUGGGCCCGCGGCCUAUCAGCUUGUUGGUGGGGUGAUGGCCUACCAAGGCGAGGACGGGUAGCCGGCCUGGGAGGGUGACCGGCCACACUGGGACUGGGAUACGGCCCAGACUCCUACGGGAGGCAGCAGUGGGGAAUAUUGCACAAUGGGCGCAAGCCUGAUGCAGCGACGCCGCGUGAGGGAUGACGGCCUUCGGGUUGUAAACCUCUUUCAGCACAGACGAAGCGCAAGCGACGGUAUGUGCAGAAGAAGGACCGGCCAACUACGUGCCAGCCGCCGCGGUAA